CCAUGUUUGAUAUUGCCUGUAGACUCGGUACACCUAGAUAGCUCAAUCCAUGGUUUUGACCACUGUCACACGCUAGGCUUGGUUUGAACCACACAAAGGUUCCUUG
rnacentral:sRNA from 1 species